rnacentral:rRNA from 1 species
GACUACCCGGGUAUCUAAUCCUGUUUGCUCCCCACGCUUUCGCUCCUCAGCGUCAGUAUCGGCCCAGAGACCCGCCUUCGCCACCGGUGUUCUUCCUGAUAUCUGCGCAUUUCACCGCUACACCAGGAGUUCCAGUCUCCCCUACCGAACUCUAGUUUGCCCGUAUCGAAUGCAGGCCCAUGGUUAAGCCAUAGGUUUUCACAUCCGACGCGACAAACCGCCUACGAGCUCUUUACGCCCAAUAAAUCCGGACAACGCUUGCACCCUACGUAUUACCGCGGCUGCUGGCACGUAGUUAGCCGGUGCUUCUUCUGCAGGUACAGUCACUUUCGCUUCGUCCCUGCUGAAAGAGGUUUACAACCCGAAGGCCGUCGUCCCUCACGCGGCGUCGCUGCAUCAGGCUUUCGCCCAUUGUGCAAUAUUCCCCACUGCAGCCCCCCGUAGG